rnacentral:pre_miRNA from 12 species
AGAAGUGCUCUACUAUGAGAACUGAAUUCCAUAGAUGGUAGCUUUUCUAGGUGUCAUCUAUGGGCUCAGUUCUUUUGGCAUGGUACUGGUU